GCCCAGUCUCCCUGGGAGGCGGGUAGGAUUCUGGACGCUGCAGUCAUCCGGCCCUUUCCAUAGGUGUUGCCCAGCCCUGGGAUGUUCCCCUCUCAAAGACAGUGGCCUUCCUCUGUUUUUUAAUUUUUUGUUUAUUUUUAUUUUUAUUUAUUCAUGAGAG
rnacentral:lncRNA from 1 species